UACGUAGGGGGCAAGCGUUGUCCGGAAUCAUUGGGCGUAAAGAGCGUGUAGGCGGCCCGAUAAGUCCGCCGUGAAAGUCCAGGGCUCAACCCUCGAAUGCCGGUGGAUACUGUCGGGCUAGAGUGCGGAAGAGGCGAGUGGAAUUCCUGGUGUAGCGGUGAAAUGCGCAGAUAUCAGGAGGAACACCGAUUGCGAAGGCAGCUCGCUGGGACGUAACUGACGCUGAGACGCGAAAGCGUGGGGAGCAAACAGG
rnacentral:rRNA from 1 species